UCCGUCCAUGCUUCACCUUCCAACAUCAUCAUCAUCAUCCACCAAAUUACCACCAAAUUUUUGAAUUAAAAAACAUAGAAGAAAAAAAUCACAUACGUAAUUUUAAAAAUUAAAAACCACAUCUCCAUAAUGUUGUAGAAAAUUAAAAAUAGUGUAACCAAAUUUUUCGCAAACCAUCAUUAAUUUUGUUAUUCACCUCCACAAUUUUUGCACCACAAUUGAAUACAAUAUCACCGG
rnacentral:lncRNA from 1 species